rnacentral:rRNA from 1 species
UAAUACGUAGGGGGCGAGCGUUGUCCGGAAUGAUUGGGCGUAAAGGGCGCGUAGGCGGCUAGAUAAGUCUGAAGUGAAAGUCCUGUUUUCAAGAUGGGAAUUGCUUUGGAUACUGUAUAGCUUGAGUGCAGGAGAGGUAAGUGGAAUUCCCAGUGUAGCGGUGAAAUGCGUAGAGAUUGGGAGGAACACCAGUGGCGAAGGCGACUUACUGGACUGUAACUGACGCUGAGGCGCGAAAGUGUGGGGAGCAAACAGGAUUAGAUACCCUGGUAGUCCACACUGUAAACGAUGAAUGCUAGGUGUAGGGGGUAUCGACCCCUUCUGUGCCGCAGUCAACACAAUAAGCAUUCCGCCUGGGGAGUACGGCCGCAAGGUUGAAACUCAAAGGAAUUGACGGGGGCCCGCACAAGCAGCGGAGCAUGUGGUUUAAUUCGACGCAACGCGAAGAACCUUACCAGGUCUUGACAUCCAGUUAAAGCUGUAGAGAUACAGUGUGUGCUUGCACAAACUGAGACAGGUGGUGCAUGGUUGUCGUCAGCUCGUGUCGUGAGAUGUUGGGUUAAGUCCCGCAACGAGCGCAACCCUUAUUUUCAGUUACUAACGUGUAAGGCGAGGACUCUGAANAGACUG